rnacentral:rRNA from 1 species
GACGAACGCUGGCGGCGUGCUUAACACAUGCAAGUCGAACGGAAAGGCCCUGCUUUUGUGGGGUGCUCGAGUGGCGAACGGGUGAGUAACACGUGAGUAACCUGCCCUUGACUUUGGGAUAACUUCAGGAAACUGGGGCUAAUACCGGAUAGGAGCUCCUGCUGCAUGGUGGGGGUUGGAAAGUUUCGGCGGUUGGGGAUGGACUCGCGGCUUAUCAGCUUGUUGGUGGGGUAGUGGCUUACCAAGGCUUUGACGGGUAGCCGGCCUGAGAGGGUGACCGGCCACAUUGGGACUGAGAUACGGCCCAGACUCCUACGGGAGGCAGCAGUGGGGAAUAUUGCACAAUGGGCGGAAGCCUGAUGCAGCAACGCCGCGUGCGGGAUGACGGCCUUCGGGUUGUAAACCGCUUUCGCCUGUGACGAAGCGUGAGUGACGGUAAUGGGUAAAGAAGCACCGGCUAACUACGUGCCAGCAGCCGCCGUGAUACGUAGGGUGCGAGCGUUGUCCGGAUUUAUUGGGCGUAAAGGGCUCGUAGGUGGUUGAUCGCGUCGGAAAUGUCAUCUUGGGGCUUAACCCUGAGCGUGCUUCCGAUACGGGUUGACUUGAGGAAGGUAGGGGAGAAUGAAUUCCUGGUGGAGCGGUGGAAUGCGCAGAUAUCAGGAGGAACACCAGUGGCGAAGGCGGUUCUCUGGGCCUUUCCUGACGCUGAGGAGCGAAAGCGUGGGGAGCGAACAGGCUUAGAUACCCUGGUAGUCCACGCUGUAAACGGUGGGUACUAGGUGUGGGGUCCAUUCCACGGGUUCCGCGCCGUAGCUAACGCUUUAAGUACCCCGCCUGGGGAGUACGGCCGCAAGGCUAAAACUCAAAGGAAUUGACGGGGCCCCGCACAAGCGGCGGAGCAUGCGGAUUAAUUCGAUGCAACGCGUAGAACCUUACCUGGGUUUGACAUGGAUCGGGAGUGCUCAGAGAUGGGUGUGCCUCUUUUGGGGUCGGUUCACAGGUGGUGCAUGGCUGUCGUCAGCUCGUGUCGUGAGAUGUUGGGUUAAGUCCCGCAACGAGCGCAACCCUUGUUCACUGUUGCCAGCACGUUAUGGUGGGGACUCAGUGGAGACCGCCGGGGUCAACUCGGAGGAAGGUGGGGAUGACGUCAAGUCAUCAUGCCCCUUAUGUCCAGGGCUUCACGCAUGCUACAAUGGCUGGUACAGAGAGUGGCGAGCCUGUGAGGGUGAGCGAAUCUCGGAAAGCCGGUCUCAGUUCGGAUUGGGGUCUGCAACUCGACCUCAUGAAGUCGGAGUCGCUAGUAAUCGCAGAUCAGCAACGCUGCGGUGAAUACGUUCCCGGG